rnacentral:rRNA from 1 species
CACAUGCAAGUUCGAGCGGAGCGAGGGUGCUUGCACCUCAGCUUAGCGGCGGACGGGUGAGUAAUGCUUAGGAAUCUGCCUAUUAGUGGGGGACAACAUUCCGAAAGGGAUGCUAAUACCGCAUACGCCCUACGGGGGAAAGCAGGGGAUCUUCGGACCUUGCGCUAAUAGAUGAGCAUAAGUCCGGAUUAGCUAGUUGGUGGGGUAAAGGCCUACCAAAGGCGACGAUCUGUAGCGGGUCUGAGAGGAUGAUCCGCCACACUGGGAUGAGACACGGCCCAGACUCCUACGGGAGGCAGCAGUGGGGAAUAUUGGACAAUGGGGGGAAACCCUGAUUCCAGCCCAUGCCGCGUGUGUGAAGAAGGCCUUUUGGUUGUAAAGCCACCUUAAGCGA